rnacentral:lncRNA from 1 species
CCUCUCUCAGCAAUCUGCACUUCACUCUCGCCGCCUCCUCUCCCUGAACCUCAACCUCGCCGUCUCCUCGGCCGGCUCGUCUCAUCCUCUCCCACCCCGGCGAGGCGAUCCUCCAUUCUUCUUCGAUCAGUAAGUGCAUCCAGACAUCACCGAGUACUCCAUCCCAUAUCAAGCGAUUAUAUAUAUAUAUAUAUAUAUAUAUAUAUAUAUAUAUAUAUAUAUAUAUAUAUAUAUAUAUAUAUAUAUAUAUAUAUAUAUGAAAAUUCUCUUUGGAGGCCGAGCACCAUGAUGCUCGCUAUCUUGGGCGUCGGUCUUCACAUGGAUCAGGCACAGCUUCGUACUUGUCUCGUGUAUUCCACCGCCAGGCUUUUUCACGGCACCAUAUUCCCAUUUAUGCACAGUGACAGUGCAUGUAAACCAGCGGCCAUUCCAGAACACGAACAAGUGCCAUCAUCGCAUCGUGCAUCGUGCAUGGCUGAUUUUAGCAACCGAUUUUACUUGCUGAUGCAUCCCAUGCGCAGAGCCGUCGCGCAUGUUUGUCGUGCUGCUUGGUCAAUGUCUAUGCCUCAUCAAAUCUUACACGCAACUACGCUUCACAUGGGAGUCUAGCUAGCCACUUCGUCCAACUUGGUGUAUCAAAUUUCUAGGCCAAAUCGUCACUGUGUAACCACGAAAUAAUAUGCCCGUUUUAGUACACGAAAUCACCCAAACAACAUUUCUUUCUUUAUUUUUCAAGUGUGAAAACAUCAUUUCUUGCUUGACGGGUUUAAAAAAAUUGUGCAUAAUUUAAAUUGUUUUGACUGUCACAUCUCCAAAUGACAUUUUUCCUUCACAUGCAUUAAUUGUGUAGAUGCAUUUUCCAAAUUAUGUUUGCAUCACAAUAUUUUGUUAGAAAUUUCUGGUGGCAAAUUUCUUUUUAAACACGUAAGACACAACCACCCCUCAUCUGAUACACAAAUAAGUGUACGCAGGCCAACCUCACACGAUACUGCAACUCAUUAAGUUUAUGAUCAAAUUUUCACAUACUAUCAAAUAAAAUGCAUUCGGAUUGUUUGUCAUUUUAUACUAGCGGUUUAUUUUAAAAACAAAUGCUUGACUAGCACUAACAAUUUUGUUAUCAAUUGAACAUACACCCCCUUUAGUACUUCGAUGUCAUACCAUAACUGGGCUCACGGCGACCCCAUGGCACUCCAAGUGUACUAAUAGACAUUUUCCAGGUGUGAAAAUUUCAAGAAAUCCUCAUAUCUUAUACUCGCAUGGGCACAAGAUAAAUCACACAUACGGAAUAAUAUUUUUUGGUGGGCCCCUCUAGCAAAGGAUGGAAACCAUUUGACUAUUCGCUCUCUUCAAUGUUUUAGCCAACCACAGAUGUUACCCAUUGUUCCUAAUCAUUUCAAUUAGGAUGCAGUCUAUAAUUUUUUCUGGCGACAUUUUUCUGGAAGAAGCUGGAAAAAUAUUAUGAUGUUUUUUCUCUUUAAAUAAUAAUUCUUAUUUUCUUUUUUUGACUGGACAUUUCUUAUUUUCUUAACCAACUAAAAGAAGAUGCACUCUGCCUGGUGCGAUCAUAUUCUAUUUCUUAAAUGAAUAUCUUUAUUCUUGUUUUCUAACUAGAACCGCAUUAAUUUGUACGAAGAACCAUUUUUGGGUUUGUUGCAUCACAGAUUCACAGUUGCUGAGAUUCCCCGCGCACCCAUCCGGAUCCCACAACUAGGAGAAGCACAAAUUUUGACAUAUUUGCCAGUCGCACUCCUCAAAGAAGAAUUACAUCCCAUCCAUGAUGAAAUGGAUCAUGUCCAGUGUACCAGAUUUUUUUUUUGAGAAUCGUCCAGUGUGCCAGAUUAAGGGGACGACAUGUGCAUCGCCUAGGUCCAAAUUCUAAGUACAUAUUGAGAGAAAAAAGAAAAAUCUGGAUGUGAAUUUUUGCUUCUCAAUUUAUUUUUUGAAUUUGGGCCUGAAUUUUUUUGGAAUUUGUGCAUUCACAAAUUUAUUUACACAAUUUUUUUGAAUUUUUUGAGAAUCAUCCACUAUUUACAUCCACAAUUUUUUCAGAAUUUUUUGAAACAUUUGAAGUUGAUUUUUUUGAAAUGGUAACAUGGGAGCAUUUGGGAGAUGGUAUCCCCUGAUACUCUCCCCUGGUCUGCCCUAGCUCCACGUGUGGAAAAUUCAUAUCUACUCUGGAGGCACAUCACGUACCUGCAAUCUCAGUCUCAUGUACAAAUCUAGCACACCAACCAUGGCACCUGUGUAUUCCCAUUUAAUAGCCAGCGUACACGCAUUGUAAAUGCACGCUGCACACAUCACAAUGUCUCAAUGCAUGGCUCAGAUAAAGGCCUCCUGGUAGCCCGGCCUCCAAAAUGCUCCACUAUAUAUAUAUAUAUAUAUAUAUAUAUAUAUAUAUAUAUAUAUAUAUAUAUAUAUAAUAUAUAUAUAUAUAUAUAUGUUUCUCAUCACAUCCUAUACAUAUAUGUUUCUCGCAGCUCUACUAUCGGAGGUUUGUCAGGCAUGGCCUUCGCUGGCGUAUCUCUCAUCGCCGACGGCAGGCUGUGCGCCUCCACCGAGUCCGUCUUCGACUCCGGCGCCGACAGCAGGUACCACUUGCUCGUCGUCGAAGGCUACUCGCGCACAAACGAGACAACUCUCAAAGGCGUAUUCAUCAUGUCUCGUCCUUUCAUUGUUGGAGGCUGUCGCUGGAAAGUCGAGUACCACCCUAAUGGCUUAGGCGAUGAUGACUCCCAACGGGAUGAGCAAGAGUUUAUCUCGGUCUUCCUUGUCGAGGACGAGUAUCUCAAGAACGUCGUUAAGGCUCACGUCGCCUUCACUUUCAUUGACCAGCCUGAGUUGCGAGUGCCAAACCUCAUCCGUCAAACGCAGCCAUGUUGCUUCCUUGAUGUCUUCAGUAUUACCGAUUAUCAGCCAAAAAGAUUUGUGGAAAAGGAGGUUUUCGAAAGAUCAAGCCAUCUCAAGAACGAUAGCUUCGUACUCCGGUGUGAUGUCGUUAUCCUCGAGAGGAAGGACGAUGAUGACGAGGACUAUUAUGAAGAGGAGGAGGACGAGAAGGCUCGUCCGUUCAUCAAAUUGCCACCGUCCGACUUGCCAAGCCAUUUCAGUGACCUGCUCCUAAGCAAGGAGGGUGCCGACAUUAAGUUCGAGGUUGGCGGCAAGAAGUUAUCUGCACACCGGUGCGUGCUUGCAGCUCGUUCUACCGUCUUCAAGGCACAGCUCUAUGGCGCCAUGAAUGAGGGCGCUGCUGCACCAAGUGUCGUGAAGAUAGAUGGCAUCGAAGCAAGUGUCUUUGAGAGCUUGCUUACUUUCAUCUACACUGACGGAAUGCCUGUCUUUGAGGAUGCAAUGCCUAUUAGGUUUAUGAAUAGUGACAAAGGUGAAAAGCAUGCAACAUGGCUGCUGCAGUUGCUUGAAGCUGCGGAAAGAUACGAUCUCCAAAAGUUGAAGUUGAUCUGUGAAGAGAAGUUGGCCAAUCUGAUAUGCAAGCACAUGGUGGCCGGCAUUAUUGUCGUCGCUGAGCGGAGACGGUGCCGCUGGUUGAAGGAGGCCUGCUUGGAGUUCAUCAAAACUCACACCAGUUUGCACACAGUUUUUACGGCUGGUGGCCUGGAGCAGAUAAUCAGGACCUGCAACCCCUACGUACUCAAGGAGUUCAUUUCCAAGUUUGCUACGCAGAAAGUGGCAGGUUCGUACUUCUUGUAUGUACAAUCUGGUGUGUGUCAAACUGUCAAUCAUACGUCUAGUUGCUUUGAGUACUCUGUUCUAAACCUGAUUGCAAAUGCAAGUUUUUGUGCCAUCCAUCCCACUGACUAUAUCUUUUGUGCACCCUUUUCAUUUGCAGCAGUGGGCGCCGGUGUGGAAGGGAUGAAUGAUACGGGCGCAGGUGGCAAAGCUGAAGCCGGAGACAAACAUGAUGCUGGAUCCAAGAGGCGUAAGAUGGAUGCGGCCUAGAGACCAUGUUGGCGGUUUCUCUAGAUUGCCUGAGUGCUGAUGUUAAGCUGGAAACCCCAGCCUGAUAUAUCUUUUGUUCUGUUUGAACUUUUUGGAAUACUUAAGAUAUAUGGGGUCUGAGAAAAUGCUUUUUAUCUAAGAAUAUAUAUGUCAAAUUGCCUUCAUUUUGUCACGCAUAUGCAUAUAUGUCUAUGUUGAGAUGUUAAGC